ACUAUUUUGGCAGAAAAAGUGUCUUGAAGUUAGAUUUCAAUUAUGUAAUAUUAUAUUACAAUUAGUA
rnacentral:tRNA from 1 species